rnacentral:rRNA from 1 species
AUUGAACGCUGGCGGCAGGCCUAACACAUGCAAGUCGAACGGUAACAGGAAGAAGCUUGCUUCUUUGCUGACGAGUGGCGGACGGGCGAGUAAUGUCUGGGAAACUGCCUGAUGGAGGGGGAUAACUACUGGAAACGGUAGCUAAUACCGCAUAACGUCGCAAGACCAAAGAGGGGGACCUUCGGGCCUCUUGCCAUCGGAUGUGCCCAGAUGGGAUUAGCUAGUAGGUGGGGUAACGGCUCACCUAGGCGACGAUCCCUAGCUGGUCUGAGAGGAUGACCAGCCACACUGGAACUGAGACACGGUCCAGACUCCUAAGGGAGGCAGCAGUGGGGAAUAUUGCACAAUGGGCGCAAGCCUGAUGCAGCCAUGCCGCGUGUAUGAAGAAGGCCUUCGGGUUGUAAAGUACUUUCAGCGGGGAGGAAGGGAGUAAAGUUAAUACCUUUGCUCAUUGACGUUACCCGCAGAAGAAGCACCGGCUAACUCCGUG